GAUGAACGCUAGCUACAGGCUUAACACAUGCAAGUCGAGGGGUAGCACGGAGGAAGCUUGCUUCCUUGGGUGACGACCGGCGCACGGGUGAGUAACGCGUAUCCGACCUACCCAUUACUCGGGCACAGCCGCUCGAAAGAGUGAUUGAUUCCCGAUAUGUCCUUGGAGUAGAUUCAAUGAUGAAAGAUUUAUCGGUUAUGGAUGGGGAUGCGUAAGAUUAGGUAGUAGGCGGGGUAACGGCCCACCUAGUCUACGAUGUCUAGGGGUUCUGAGAGGAAGGUCCCCCACACUGGAACUGAGACACGGUCCAGACUCCUACGGGAGGCAGCAGUGAGGAAUAUUGGUCAAUGGUCGGAAGACUGAACCAGCCAAGUAGCGUGAAGGAUGAAGGUUCUAUGGAUUGUAAACUUCUUUUAUACGGGAAUAAAACCACCUACGUGUAGGUGCUUGUAUGUACCGUAUGAAUAAGCAUCGGCUAACUCCGUG
rnacentral:rRNA from 1 species